CCGUGCCCGAGAGACUGGGAUAACACCUGGAAACAGAUGCUAAUACCGGAUAACAACACUAGACGCAUGUCUAGAGUUUAAAAGAUGGUUCUGCUAUCACUCUUGGAUGGACCUGCGGUGCAUUAGCUAGUUGGUAAGGUAACGGCUUACCAAGGCAAUGAUGCAUAGCCGAGUUGAGAGACUGAUCGGCCACAUUGGGACUGAGACACGGCCCAA
rnacentral:rRNA from 1 species